UACGAAGGGUGCAAGCGUUACUCGGAAUUACUGGGCGUAAAGCGUGCGUAGGUGGUUUGUUAAGUCUGAUGUGAAAGCCCUGGGCUCAACCUGGGAACUGCAUUGGAAACUGGCUUACUAGAGUGCGGUAGAGGGGUGUGGAAUUCCCGGUGUAGCAGUGAAAUGCGUAGAUAUCGGGAGGAACAUCUGUGGCGAAGGCGACACCCUGGACCAGCACUGACACUGAGGCACGAAAGCGUGGGAAGCAAACAGG
rnacentral:rRNA from 1 species